rnacentral:rRNA from 1 species
AAAGGGUCGCGAACCCGCGAGGGGGAGCCAAUCCCAAAAAGCCGACUCUCAGUUCGGAUUGCAGGCUGCAACUCGCCUGCAUGAAGCCGGAAUCGCUAGUAAUCGCGGAUCAGCAUGCCGCGGUGAAUACGUUCCCGGGCCUU